ACUGGUUUUCAUAUGAUCACUGAAGUUAAACAACAACAAACCUUAUUAGUACUUGCAUGGGUGACCACUUGGGAAUACCAGGUGCUGUAA